rnacentral:rRNA from 1 species
UUUCCCUCAGGAUAGCUGGCACUCGCUUGAGCGAGUCUCAUCUGGUAAAGCGAAUGAUUAGAGGCCUUGGGGCCGAAACGACCUCAACCUAUUCUCAAACUUUAAAUGGGUGAGAUCUCUGGCUUGCUUGAACAUUGAAGCCACGAGAUGGAAAGGAUUUUUUAAUCUUUUCCGUAAUGGAUCAGAGUGCCAAGUGGGCCAAUUUUGGUAAGCAGAACUGGCGCUGUGGGA